AUACUACUCGGCUAUAAAAAAUGGUGACUUCACCGUUUUCAGUCGAUCUUGGAUGGACCUACCCCUGCGAUUUCCCCAAAUGUGGGAAACUCUACUGCAUAAUUUGCGGUAGUGGGAGACUGCAUUCGUGCUCUCCCCUA
rnacentral:snRNA from 1 species